rnacentral:rRNA from 1 species
CGGCGAGUGACUCGGGAACAGCUCAGGCUUCAAUGCUCCGUGCGAGUUUUGCGCGGGAAAUUGUAGUCUAUAGAGGCGUGGUCAGCGUGCGCCCUCGGGGCAAGUUCCUUGGAAGAGGACAGCUCGGAGGGUGAUACUCCCGUUCAUCCCUGAAUGGAUCGUGCGUACGACCCGUGUUCUUUGAGUCGCGUUGUUUGGGAAUGCAGCGCAAAGUAGGUGGUAAAUUCCAUCUAAAGCUAAAUAUUGGUGCGAGACCGAUAGCGAACAAGUACCGUGAGGGAAAGAUGAAAAGAACUUUGAAAAGAGAGUUAAAGAGUACCUGAAACUGCUGAAAGGGAACCGAAUCGUUUCCAGUGUCUAUAAUCCGUGGCAUAUUUCAUUGGCGAGUGUGCGCGUGCGUGUGCUGUGGCAGCGGCCUUUUUGGUUGCGCUCGGUGCGUGUGCUGUGUGUGCUUGCUGGUGCCCUGUGCUGCGGUGGGACGUCAAGGUCAGUUCGUAUGCUGCGGGAAAUGGCUGCCGAGGAGGUAGGGCUUACGCUCCGCGUUUGUCUGUUAUAUCUUGGUGGACGAGUCGUCGCGGUUGGGACUGAGGUGCCUACAACGUGCUUUUGAGUGGGUCUGUGUCUCCGUGUGCGCCGUGUGCGGAUAGCUUGCUAUGCGUGUGUGGUUGUGCGUGGAUUGAUGCGGGCUUUAACUUGUCGCCGUUCGGGACGUUGACGAAAUGGAGCGAUCCGACCCGUCUUGAAACACGGACCAAGGAGUCUAACAUGUGUGCAAGUGUUAGGGUGUGGAAACCCCAGCGCGAAAUGAAAGUGAAGGGCAGCGCAAGUUGUCUGAGGUAGGAAACGUUGCGGGCUUCGGUCUGCGGCGUGGCACUAUCGACCGAUCAUGAACCUUCGUGGUGAAAGAUUUGAGUUUGAGCACAUAUGUUGGUACCCGAAAGAUGGUGA